CCUACGGGUGGCAGCAGUAGGGAAUUUUGCGCAAUGGGGGAAACACUGAAGCAGCAACGCCGCGUGAUCGAUGAAGCCCUUCGGGGGGUAAAGAUCUGUCAGUGGGGACGAAACCUGACGGUACCCACAGAGGAAGCACCGGCUAACUCCGUGCCAGCAGCCGAGGUAAUGCGGGGGGUGCAAGCGUUGUCCGGAAUCAUUGGGCGUACAGAGUUCGUAGGGGGCACGUGAAGUCUGGUGUGAAAGGCGGAAGCUCAACUUCCGUAGGGCAAUGGAUAAUGGCGAGCUUGAAUGCGGUAGAGGUAAAGGGAAUGCCUGGUGUAGCGGUGAAAUGCGUAGAUAUCAGGAGGAACAUCGGUGGCGUAAGCGCUUUACGGGGCCGUAAUUGACACUGAGGAACGAAAGCCGGGGUAGCAAAUGGGAUUAGAUACCCCUGUAGUC
rnacentral:rRNA from 1 species